rnacentral:piRNA from 5 species
CUAAAGAUUUCCGUGGAGAGGAAC